AUAUGACUGAAUGAUUUCAUUUCUGGAUAACUCUUUCCAGUUCGUUUGUUCAAAAGGGCUUUGCAGGUUGGGUUUUUGCUCCUGCUUUUCCGUUUCUGUCCUGUGCUGUUCAGUAAGUGCAGGGAUUUCUACCUGCAAAGGAUCUUUCGGUGUUAAAGGUUUUAUCUGUCCUGUCAUGGGAUCAAAAGUGAGUUUUCUCUCUUUUAACCUCACAGGUUUCACACCCCCUUCUGUCACGUGCCCAUCCAAGUUGACUGUGUAGUCUCUGGGUCGGUACCUUUUCUUCUUUUUACUAUCAGACCCUGAAGCAGCAUCGUCACUGUCCAUUUUGGAAGUGUCCUGUGGGAAGCCCACGUGUGGCAGGAGCGAGUCCCCGGGGUGGGCGCCAGCCUUGCAGCUCGCUGAUGGGCUUCGCUCCAGCCACAGCAGGAAGUUGUGUCUCUGGUUUGCAGUUGUGAGCACCUCCAUUCGCUGAUCCAGGUGGAUUGGGGAGCCCUCUUGGCACUGGGUCGUUCUGGGUCACGGGUUCUAUCAACUUCUGCCAAUUCCGCAACAAUUUCUUGGCACGUUUGGCAAGUUCCUCAUUGGAUGUCUUCUUCCUCACCUCAUUGAUGAGCCUCCCGAGCCUUGUUUCCUACAAAGACAGACAAGUUGUUUUACAAACAGGUAUCACCAUCCCAAGAAAAACCCUUAAAGGAACGUUUCUGCUUUUGCUCACCCUGAGAAAUACCUGGUUAAAGACACUAAAGAUUUAAGUGUUGAAUUAAUCUUUUUGGAAGGGAUCAGUCCAGCGCUCGGCCACUCAACAUGAAACCAGCUGUGGGUUUCAAGCCUUUAUUCCCUGAGCUGGGAAAAAACAUCAGAAAGGAAUUCUUUAAUGAGAAGGAACAUUGAGAAUAAAGGUGUGGGUUCAGAUGCAGCACCCAAAAGGUUUGUGUUUACCACAGCGAAAGUCUAAGAUCUGCAGAAGGAGCCAAGAGAACAGAAUUCCAGGGUCUUUGCCUGUUACAGUAACAAUUAACAAUAAAAAUGUCCAUUUGACAAAGCUGACUGCUAGGUGUGACAUGUCCUACCUUCCUCCUCCACCUCUCCUCUCCCUUCACUCCCCAGUAUCUUGGAAACACAUGGAAGAGCCAUUUAAACAAAUUCCUGGGGUGUCCCAGAGUGGUUUUGUGAGCGGAAGGAAGUGAAGUGUUUGAUUGUUCCCAAAGCAUGUUUGAAAACAAAGAAUUGUUCCACAAGUCAGAUUACUUAAGAAAAGGACUUCAAAGGAGAACACAGACCAGCCUGUGAGAGAAAUAUGCAACCUGUUGGGAUACAUAUGUUGAAAUAACAGGUGGAGUUGUAAUUAAGCAACAGUUAAAAGCAAGAACACCGCUAAUUUCAAUACAAAGGGUGAAAAAAAAAUAUAAAUCAGCCAUAAAACUUCUUUGGGCUGUUUCUACGAGUGGCCAGUGAGACUGCAGCUCUCCCACACCUGCUCUCACCAAAAAGAUCAGGUAUUGAAACCUACCUAAAUGAAUUUUAGAUUGAUUUUAAAGACACACAGCAACUAUAUUCCUAUUUCAGAUUUCUGGUGCUUGGUCACCAAACAUCUACGAAGGUGACCAAAACUGCAGAGUCAUAUUGCUGAAGGCACCCAAAUUCAUCAGUGGCAAGUGAUGAUUAAUGUAGUGCCCUGCACAAACAGGAACUGUGCUGCCCAGAAUACUGAUCUGGCCCAGAAAGGAUCCCUGUGUUCAGCGAGAUGUCGGAAGCAGCACGAGAGGGACAAAAUAAUAUCUUAAUUGUGAAUCCUUUGCAAUCCAUCUAUUGUUUCCAGAAAAGCUCCAAUGGAAAUUAGAAAGGCAGAGAAAGUCCUUUUAUACACACAAAAAUCAUGUUCAGAGCGUGACAUACCUCAAGUGCCUCUUUGGUAAUGGGAUAUUUCUCCAGGCUGGAGAUCACUUCCAGCACUGCCACCAUGUUAUGGAUCUGCAACAAGGAACACAAAGUCACUUCA